rnacentral:rRNA from 1 species
UACAGGGGGUGCAAACGUUGCUCGGAAUUAUUGGGCGUAAAGCGCGCGUAGGCGGCUACUUAAGUCGGAUGUGAAAGCCCUUGGCUCAACUGAGGAAGUGCACCCGAAACUGAGUGGCUUGAGUACUAAAGAGGGUCGCGGAAUUCCCGGUGUAGAGGUGAAAUUCGUAGAUAUCGGGAGGAACACCGGUGGCGAAGGCGGCGACCUGGGUAGAUACUGACGCUGAGGUGCGAAAGCGUGGGGAGCAAACAGG